ensembl:lncRNA
CAAGGGGGGAAGCCAUUUCCUCAAGGCUUUUCUCCAUUUCAGUAGCAGCGUGUCUGAGCCGAGCCAUCGGGUGUCUUUGAGGAAUGAGUGUCCAGUAGGAUGUGGCCAUAGCGCACGCCGGAAUUAGGUUGCUGUCUGGCUGUAUUCACCUGAGGCGAACAAAUGGCGGUGUCAAGCUAUCUCUGUUCAUAUACGCCUCCAGUCCAGAAAGGCUCCAUUUUUCAGCUGGAAGCGCCCAGCCAACAACUAUGGAGGGAGGUGACCCUGAUGACUUCAGCGACACCGAAACCAACUGUGAGACAGAAAUUGAUUUCAAAAAUGCAAACGUUUCCCAAGAGCUCUGUGAUCUGAUAAAGGCCUACAAAAUGCAGUUAUCCAAAACACAACCCAAAACAUGGGUACAUACAUAAACUUUGAUAACUAUAUAGGUAUAAAGGCACAAUUAGAACUAGAUUCACUUUACAGCUAUAGCAUGAAUAUUUUCCACUAACCAAAAAACAUUAGCAGAGUUUUUGAAUAAGCAGCUCCUCAUGUGAAACAAGUAAGGCGGACAUUGACCCGUCACUUCAGCAGGAGUGGAGCUGGUGUAUGAACGCAUGCUCCAAGUCAAACCACAGUGUUGCUAUUAUAGCAAAGAAAGGAUUACGACAGGCUUCAUCGGACCUUCUGAUCUCGAAGUACGACUGCUUUUAGUUUAGAGUUUAAUGCAGUUUUUCAAAAAAUGUUCUCGUGUCUCCAGGUUUCUUUUUGGAGCUGCGAGCGCAGAUGCAAUUUCCCACCUUGUGUUUACAGCUCUGGUCCCGGCAACAAGAGGAGGACGAGCAAAAAGAGAGAGAGGUCUUUUGGGUUUCAGAUUAACUGAAUGGACGCGUGACUGUUUAGUUUCCAUAACUAUAAAAAUACAUUUAUGGAAAACGUUCCCACAGAACGUUUUCUAUCUUCUAACUUUUCUAUCUUUCUUUCUUUGUCUCAAAAUGAGGCCUGACCUGUAAUGUUUCGGGCGAUGUAAUUGUACCACACAGGAUGGAGUCAGGUUGUCUUGCAGGGUUUUGGGGUUCCCUCUGUGCCUGGCCAGCAGAGGGAGCGGUUCCUGCAGGGCUCCAGCUUCAUUGUCAUGGCCGGCCUUCUGUCUGGGGCCGCUGCUGCGUGGCUUCCCUGACAGCCUUAAAUCACAUAGAUAGAGUGAGAGAGAGAAGCAUCUGCAUUCCACUAAAGUUGUUCCCUCCUGCUGCAGUCACGUACAGAACCCGGAAUUCAUUCACGAUAGAAAAGUUAAGUGAACAGUUCUUAUUUCAAGUCACAUUCAGUGGAAGUCUCCAUUAAAAAGAACAAAGGCAGACGAGCAGCUCCAUCGGCCAUGUGUGUCUUAUGAACAACAACAACAUUUACUGCCUCUUGAAGGACAGGAUACACGGAGCCCAGGGAGAAAACAGAGAAACUGGGCCGGAAUGGUGGUGGCGAACAAUGCAGGAGGGCGGCUGCCAGGUUUUAUGGUCUGGGAUCGUGCUCCCAACCCCCACAGCCAGGUCCCCCUUCCUUCCUGCAAUGUACUGUAGUUUACACUUGAGCCACCAUGAACCACGUUUGGUUGAAAGAAGCCAGUCAGAACAAUGAAACAAUGAGAGCAUGCACUGUAGAGAGAGGUGCCUUUUCUCACCUUAACUCAAACCAUCCGUCCUUCAGUGUCACAUGUUCAUGUGAUAUUUAUGUGUUUUGUUUUCAUUCGAAAAUGCAUGUGAAUUAUCCUGUUUUUCUGCAGUGAACAUAAUUGGAUCAGUUUGUGUGCAUUGAUGUUUCUGAAAACACAGGAG